UACGUAGGGGGCAAGCGUUGUCCGGAUUUAUUGGGCGUAAAGAGCGUGUAGGCGGCCGUACAGGUCAGCUGUGAAAACUCGGGGCUCAACUCCGAGCUUGCAGUCGAUACGGGCAGGCUAGAGUUCGGCAGGGGAGACUGGAAUUCCUGGUGUAGCGGUGAAAUGCGCAGAUAUCAGGAGGAACACCGGUGGCGAAGGCGGGUCUCUGGGCCGAUACUGACGCUGAGGAGCGAAAGCGUGGGGAGCGAACAGG
rnacentral:rRNA from 1 species